AAGUCGUAACAAGGUUUCCGUAGGUGAACCUGCGGAAGGAUCAUUAACACGUAUCCACGUACCUACUAGUAAUUUUUGAGUUCAUCAACUCGAAACAACAAAAGUGCUUCGGCGACCGGGAUUUCAACGAGAUCCACAAACGGUAGAGCGGAGUGAUCCGCUAUCUCGACCGGUAGAAGCGCGAAAUGGUGUCAUGAGAACUGACCUCAACUGUUCUCCGGGAAAUGAGCAAAAAUUCGUUUUUUGACUUGUUUCUGCAGUUUUCGGCUACUGUUUUGUAAAUCCAUCAUGUUAACUAUUUGUAACUAACUUUUCUGUCUGAACGAACAGAUUGAAUUCACUUUCAAUCUGAUUGUCGCGAAAUGUUUUACAACUCUUAGCAACGGAUAUCUUGGUUCUC
rnacentral:misc_RNA from 1 species